UACGGAGGGAGCAAGCGUUACUCGGAAUUAUUGGGCGUAAAGGGCGCGUAGGCGAUUUGAAAAGUCUUGUGUGAAAGCCCCGAGCUUAACUCGGGAAGUGCACAAGAAACUGUUGAAUUUGAGUUCCGGAGAGGAAGGCAGAAUUCCCGGUGUAGCGGUGAAAUGCGUAGAUAUCGUAAGGAAGACCAGUGGCGAAGGCGGGUCUCUGGACAGUUCCUGACGCUGAGGCACGA
rnacentral:rRNA from 1 species